CAGCAGCCACGGGAAUACGAGGGGGGCAAGCGUUGUUCGGAAUUAUUGGGCGUAAAGGGCGCGUAGGCGGUUUGGCAAGUUUGGUGUGAAAUCUUCGGGCUCAACUCGAAGUCUGCAUCGAAAACUGCCGGGCUUGAGUAUGGGAGAGGUGAGUGGAAUUUCCGGUGUAGCGGUGAAAUGCGUAGAUAUCGGAAGGAACACCUGUGGCGAAAGCGGCUCACUGGACCAUAACUGACGCUGAGGCGCGAAAGCUAGGGGAGCAAACAGGAUUAGAUACCCCCGUAGUCCCUGUCUCUUAUAC
rnacentral:rRNA from 1 species